GAGAGCCGGAUGCGCUGAAAGGUGCAAGUCCGGUUCGGAGGGGGGCCGAGGGACGUUCUCAACGAGACGCCACCCGGCCUACCCUAC
rnacentral:ncRNA from 1 species